CACGUAGGCACCAAGCGUUGUCCGGAAUCAUUGGGCGUAAAGCGCGUGUAGGCGGUUCGAUAAGUCUGCUGUGAAAGUCCAGGGCUCAACCCUGGAAAGCCGGUGGAUACUGUCGGACUAGAGUGCGGAAGAGGCGAGUGGAAUUCCCGGUGUAGCGGUGAAAUGCGCAGAUAUCGGGAGGAACACCAGUGGCGAAGGCGAGUCUCUGGACGACACCUGACACUGAGGCACGAAAGCUAGGGGAGCAAACAGG
rnacentral:rRNA from 1 species